rnacentral:rRNA from 1 species
AUUGAACGCUGGCGGCAGGCCUAACACAUGCAAGUCGAGCGAGCGGCGGACGGGUGAGUAAUGUAUGGGGACUGCCCGAUAGAGGGGGAUAACUACUGGAAACGGUGGCUAAUACCGCAUACUAUCGGAUAACCCAUAUGGGAUUAGCUAGUAGGUGGGGUAAAGGCUCACCUAGGCGACGAUCUCUAGCUGGUCUGAGAGGAUGAUCAGCCACACUGGGACUUAGAACAGGCCCCGACUCCGACGGGGGCAGGCGGGGGGAAUAUUUGACAAUGGGGGCAAGUCCGAUUGAGCCCUGCCGGGUGGUUGAAAAAGGCCUUAGGGGUGGAAAGUACUUUCAGCGGGGAGGCGUUACCCGCAGAAGAAGCACCGGCUAACUCCGUGCCAGCAGCCGCGGUAAUAC